rnacentral:piRNA from 1 species
UACCAAUUGAGUGUUCCUUAAAUGUACCU